rnacentral:rRNA from 1 species
CCUACGGGUGGCAGCAGUGAGGAAUAUUGGUCAAUGGGCGCGAGCCUGAACCAGCCAAGUCGCGUGAGGGAUGACUGCCCUACGGGUUGUAAACCUCUUUUAUAAAGGAAUAAAGUGCGGCACGUGUGCCGUUUUGUAUGUACUUUAUGAAUGAGGAUCGGCUAACUCCGUGCCAGCAGCCGCGGUAAUACGGAGGAUCCGAGCGUUAUCCGGAUUUAUUGGGUUUAAAGGGAGCGUAGAUGGGUUGUUAAGUCAGUUGUGAAAGUUUGCGGCUCAACCGUAAAAUUGCAAUUGAUACUGGCAGCCUUGAGUACAGUUGAGGUAGGCGGAAUGCGUGGUGUAGCGGUGAAAUGCUUAGAUAUCACGAAGAACUCCGAUUGCGAAGGCAGCCUACCAAGCGGCCACUGACGUUGAUGCACGAAAGUGUGGGUAUCAAACAGGAUUAGAUACCCGAGUAGUC